ensembl:lncRNA
CGGCCCCUAGCCACAUCUCCUAGAGCUCCUCCCCUGCCGCCCCUCCCCGCUCUCCCCCGUCGGGCCCCCUGCCGCCCCUCCUCGCGACCCCCGGCCCGCGGCGCUGCAGCCUGGCCGCUUGCCUCGUGGCCCGCCCGGCCCGGCUCCGAGUCGGCGGCGGCUGUGCUCGGACAUGGUUAAAAGAUCAAUAAGGGUUGUUGCUAUUGCUGCUGCUGCUGUUUUUAUGACUGCUGGUGUUGUUAUCAUCAUCUUCAUUAGCCCAUCGACCCACCCAGUGUCACCUUUGAGAGCAUCAAAUCAGCUAAUGUAUAUGAAAGCAGAUUAACCACACACACAUAUACACAUUAAGGCUCUCCUAGCAGAAACCACCAGGAGCGCACUGCAGUGUGCCCCUCUCUCCUCCGGCCGCCUGACUUCCCUAAGGACUGUCCUCUGAUCUGCUUUCUGUGGAGAAGGGUCACUCGGAGGAUUUGAAAACCCUCCCUACUUUUACUGUGUUAACACUCAUCGAGAGGAGCACUUUAGUAUUCGGCGUUUCUCAGCCUGGUGUGGUCAUGAGAAAACAAGAAGAAAACUCAGAGAGUUGAGCGUCCUGCGGAGAGGACAGCGUUGAGCAGCUGGGGAGCACGGAGCGCGGGCGGAGCGGCAGGAGCGGCGCUGGCCCCUCGGCGGCCGCGCGCUUGUCGGUCCCACGGUCCCACGGUCCCACGGCCUCAGGGCGCGCACGCCUCAGAGCAUCGGCAGCUGCGGACCUGGUUUCCCACAAGUGACCGGGGCGGAAGGUUAAAGACAGUUCAAAACAGGGUGACAGAAGUGUCCAUUAGACCUAGAAAAGGUCUUAAAGAUCAUCUUCUAGGGUAGUCUACCGCGUUUAUUUUACAAAUGGGGCCAUAAACUCCAGAGCAGGGAAAUACCUGGCGUAAAGCUGCAUAAUUUUAGUGAGGUUAGUUCUCUCCCUCGAUGGGGCUAAGACUGUGGAAGAGGGCAAACGCCUUGCGUGAAGCGUGCGCUGCUCUGUCUUUAUCUGUCCACGGUUCACUCGAGGAGAUCUUUUAGUGGCUAUGGUUUUGUGUCCGUGUGAGCUGCAAGAGAACAGUGAGCUAUUGUGUUCUGAUCUUGCAGGCACUAGACAAAGGCAGCGUGGUAAUGGACGCAUGCGCUAGCGAGUCCAUUUUGAUGGUUGGAUCGUAAUUUAUGCAUUUUACGUAAUCCCUAAUGCUUGGGCAACGAUUUAUCCAUCAGGUGACCAGGAAAUCCUGCUGGUCUCUGUCCUUUAGGUGUGUGGUUUGACUUUCUCUAAUGAUUUUUCAGAAGAUCUGACUGUGAUAAUUGGAGCCCAGGAGUUGAAGGGAGUUGUCACAAUUGCGUCUGUGUAUGGAGCAUUUUGAUACGGGCGGUUUAACAUCAGGCAGCCGGCAGGUGCAGGGACUCCUGCAUCCAUAUUAAGAGGAAGAGCAAGCUCUUUUUCUCCUCAAAUCUUCACUACCUGGAAUUAGAAUAGUUCGUUGGUUGAGGGUGGUGGGGGAAGAGAUACCACAGUUAAAGGAGCUGCAGAAUGGAAAGAAGGUACUAAUUAUCUCACUGUUCAGUAGUUUUUGUUUAGUGCUUUUACAUAUUGUGAAAUUUUCUUUUAUAAAGUUCCACUCAGUACAGACUUAGAAAUUUCACAUAAUGUUCCAAGGUUUGAUAAGAAAGUAACAAAAUAUAAGGUAGUGUUACAUACUGCAGUCUUUCUAUUUAAGAUAAAUGGGAUUUUUAAUUACAUUUUUUGGGGGAUAGACUUAAGCAAGCUAAAAUGAAGUUUCAAAGUGGGAGCUAAUUUGCUCAGGUGUCAGUGCUUUGAAUGAAGUACAGCAAAGUCAGAUAUGUUUAGCUGGAUCUAGAAAAUCAGAAAAGAUAGCCGUAGAUGAGGAUGUGCACACGGAUAUUUAAGUUGUAGUGCCUGUAGGGUUUGGAAGAAUGCUGGUCUGUAUUAUGCUGAUUCCCAUCUCCUCUCUGAGGUUGGCCCCAGGCUUCCUCGUGAGCGGGAGCAGUGACCUCUGCUUCCCCAAGGCCUUCUCUGGAGUGUUAAUGUCUUCUUGCACCAGGCCAUGUGCAAACACAGAGCUAAUUUGGAUUUAAAAUGUGUAGAGAGAGAAAGUCCAGAUGAUUUUCGUGGGUUUCAUUAGUAACUUGAAGGAGAGGUUGGGGCAGAAGGCAGGAGGGUGGAAAGAAUGGAGGUUCAGGCCUUUGAAGGCUGUGAGCAAUGGAGGAGCCUGGAGAUCCCUGGCCCGCUGCUACCUCCUGCCGCCUUUGAUUGUGGGCCCACAGAAAUGGGAGCGGCCAGCCCCGGGGGCUGGGGUUGGGGGGGAGGUGUGUGAAUCAGACAAAC